CAGGGUGGCGCCCCCUCCCCUACACCACCGUCGCGCCUACAAACCUCGGAACCACUCCUCCGACUGAAGCGUGCUCUGCACCGCGUGGCCUUCGAGUUGCGCGCGGAUUUCGCGCAGCGCCGACGUCACGUCGCACUUAAGGGCGUCGCGCGCCUCGGCCUGCGCCUGCGCCUGCGCGGCGCCGCAGCCUGGAUCUGCCGAGCAGCUCGCCCACCUCCUCCUGGUGGUGACGCCGCAGGUAGCCGCACUCUUCCUGCAGUGCUUGCGCUUUCUUCUGCAGCUCGACGCGUGCCGCCUCAGCCUCCUGCGCAAAGCGCGCGAGUGCGCGCGCUGCCGCCUCAGCUUCCUCCCGCUGCCGGGCCUCGUCGUCUAGGCGCUGGCGCACGUGCGCGAUGUCUUCCAGCAGGUGCUCCUGCUCCAGGCGCAGCUGGCCGCGCGCCGCGCCUAGGCGCAGCACUGCACCGCGAAUCUCGCGUACCUCUCGCUCAUACAGCUCGCCCAUGGCGGAGCGGCCCGCCUGCUGCUGCCGCAGCGCCGCUUGCCUCGCCUUCCAGGCUGCGGUUAUGUGCUUCGAGCUGCCGCACCUUGUCGAUGUAAGCCGGCGAAGCGGUCGUUCAGCGCCUGCAGCUGCUCCUUCUCGCUGCGGGCUGCCGCUGCUGCCACCACGCAGCCCUCCGGUCCGUUGCUCAACGUAUCUAGCGAGUCGGUGCUCGAAGUGGCUCCUGCACCGCGGAAGCGGCCCGGCGAGGCCGAUACGGAGCUCACGGAUGUCCGCGCCCAGGAGUGGAAGCCGCUGGAUGAGCCGGCAGCAGAACGCGCUCCGCCCUUGCGGGCCAGAGCGUAGUGCAGGCUGCCCGCCUCCAUGUAGCGGCGCGAACGGGGCGCCCAGCAGCGCGUCCGCGCCGCUGAAGCUCAUCAUGGGCCGGAGCAGUUCCUUUCAUAAAUGUAUCCAGGUCCCACUGCGGCCUCACCAGACUUGUCAUCAAACCCACUUUCCAGAGCAAGAAACCGAGGUUCUAGGACUACAGCUGAUUCCUGUGCUUCCUGGAUGCUUGGCCCACAAUCUUGACUUGAACGAAUCGCGCAACAAGCGCCCCUCUGCAGGCAGCGCGACGGUGACGUCUGCGUCACGUUCAGCCCCGCCCCUCGGCGCCGGAAACGCCCGAACGCCUCCUCCGGCCACGGAAGAUUAUGGAGCGCUCCUCCCAAGGCCGGGCUCGGAGAAGCCGGGGAACGCGACGUUCAGCCGCAACCCGACUUCC
rnacentral:lncRNA from 1 species